AUACGGAGGAUGCGAGCGUUAUCCGGAUUUAUUGGGUUUAAAGGGUACGUAGGUGGCCCGGUAAGUCAGUGGUGAAAACCUGUCGCUUAACGAUAGGCGUGCCAUUGAUACUGCUGGGCUUGAGUACAGAUGAGGUAAGCGGAAUGUGUAGUGUAGCGGUGAAAUGCAUAGAUAUUACACAGAACUCCGAUUGCGAAGGCAGCUUACUAAACUGACACUGACGCUGAGGUACGAAAGCGUGGGUAGC
rnacentral:rRNA from 1 species